GUAGGGAAUAUUGGGCAAUGGUCGGAAGACUGACCCAGCCAUGCCGCGUGCAGGAAGUCGGCCCUCUGGGUUGUAAACUGCUUUUAUCUGGGAAGAAAAAGGCCAUGCGUGGCAAAUUGCCGGUACCAGAUGAAUAAGCACCGGCUAACUCCGAGCCAGCAGCCGCGGUAAUACGGAGGGUGCGAGCGUUGUCCGGAUUUAUUGGGUUUAUAGGGUGCGUAGGCGGCUGAUUAAGUCAGCGGUGAAAGACUUCGGCUUAACCGGAGCAGUGCCGUUGAUACUGGUUGGCUUGAGUGUCGGAGGGGUACAUGGAAUUGAUGGUGUAGCGGUGAAAUGCAUAGAUACCAUCAGGAACACCGAUAGCGAAGGCAUUGUACUGGCCGACAACUGACGCUGAUGCACGAAAGUGUGGGGAUCGAACAGGAUUAGAUACCCCUGUAGUCC
rnacentral:rRNA from 1 species